UACAGAGGGUGCGAGCGUUGUUCGGAAUUAUUGGGCGUAAAGGGCUCGUAGGCGGUCUGUCACGUCGGGAGUGAAAACUCAGGGCUUAACCCCGAGCCUGCAGUGGAUACGGGCAGACUAGAGGUAGGUAGGGGAGAAUGGAAUUCCCGGUGUAGCGGUGAAAUGCGCAGAUAUCGGAAGGAACACCGGUGGCGAAGGCGGUUCUCUGGGCCUUACCUGACGCUGAGGAGCGAAAGCGUGGGGAGCGAACAGG
rnacentral:rRNA from 1 species